rnacentral:rRNA from 1 species
AGUGAACGCUGGCGGCAGGCCUAACACAUGCAAGUCGAGCGGCAGCGGGUCCUUCGGGAUGCCGGCGAGCGGCGGACGGGUGAGGAAUGCAUCGGAAUCUGCCCUGUCGUGGGGGAUAACCUAGGGAAACUUAGGCUAAUACCGCAUACGACCCACGGGUGAAAGCGGGGGAUCGCAAGACCUCGCGCGAUAGGAUGAGCCGAUGUCCGAUUAGCUAGUUGGCGGGGUAAAGGCCCACCAAGGCGACGAUCGGUAGCUGAUCUGAGAGGAUGAUCAGCCACACUGGGACUGAGACACGGCCCAGACUCCUACGGGAGGCAGCAGUGGGGAAUAUUGGACAAUGGGCGCAAGCCUGAUCCAGCCAUGCCGCGUGGGUGAAGAAGGCCUUCGGGUUGUAAAGCCCUUUUGUCCGGGAAGAAAUCGUCUGGGCUAAUACCCCGGGCGGAUGACGGUACCGGAAGAAUAAGCACCGGCUAACUUCGUG